rnacentral:rRNA from 1 species
AGAGUUUGAUCAUGGCUCAGAUUGAACGCUGGCGGCAGGCCUAACACAUGCAAGUCGAGCGGUAACAUUUCUAGCUUACUAGAAGAUGACGAGCGGCGGACGGGUGAGUAAUGCUUGGGAACAUGCCUUGAGGUGGGGGACAACAGUUGGAAACGACUGCUAAUACCGCAUAAUGUCUACGGACCAAAGGGGGCUUCGGCUCUCGCCUUUAGAUUGGCCCAAGUGGGAUUAGCUAGUUGGUGAGGUAAUGGCUCACCAAGGCGACGAUCCCUAGCUGGUUUGAGAGGAUGAUCAGCCACACUGGGACUGAGACACGGCCCAGACUCCUACGGGAGGCAGCAGUGGGGAAUAUUGCACAAUGGGCGCAAGCCUGAUGCAGCCAUGCCGCGUGUGUGAAGAAGGCCUUCGGGUUGUAAAGCACUUUCAGUCAGGAGGAAAGGUUAGUAGUUAAUAAU